rnacentral:lncRNA from 1 species
GCGCCCCGGUCCCCUCGGCCUCGCCCCGGCUCCCGGCCGUAGCUCUGAGCUGCGCCGCGCCCCCUUGCAGCUCUCCGGACUUUUCCGGUUGGACGACAGCCCUGAAACGCGUUGCUCCGGAGCUGUGUCCCCGGAGGCGGGGAGAGGAAGCGGCGAGGGAGAGACAGGGGGCGAGGAGAGGGCACCGAGCAGCGCCGAGGAGGAGCGCGCGGGCCUGCUAAACCUUAUAGUCCUGGCUGCCUCAUUGUCACCUCACCCUCCAUUGCCAGAUACACCCACGAGACCUCAGUAACGCACCCCGCCACGCCCGCCUCCCCACCCCCAAACUGUGACAAUCAAAACCGGCCUUGAGCCUGCCAAAGCCCCCUGCGGUGGGCCGGGACCCACUCAGCCGGGCGGCUGCAGCUCUCCCAACCCACGGAGAGAACGCGCACGCGCUGCUGUGUUCCCCCGUGGCUGGGACGUUUGCAUAUAGAUUUAUAAGUUUUUAAAUGUAUUUUAGUUAUUUUCAGGGGUUUUUGUUCUUUUAGUCUCACUAACUUUCACUUACUUUGAGGUUUCCAGUUAUCUAACUUUAAACCUUUAGUUACUUUUUAAAAAUAUUUUAAUUUAUUUGGUUUUCAUUUUUCAAUUAUUUAAAGUUAUUUUGUUUCAAGAGUCAC